rnacentral:ncRNA from 1 species
UUUCCCCCCCUUUUUCCCCCCCUUUCCCCCCCUUUCCCCCCCUUUUCCCCCCUUUCCCCCCCUUUCCCCGGAUACGCUUUUCCCGUACCCCUUUCGAGCUGUUCACCGCCGGCUUCUGACCCUGGAUAAUGGUGCAGGGAAUAAUGGAAUAGGACCUCGGUUCUAUUUUGUUGGUUUUCGGAGCGCGAGGUAAUGAUUAAGAGGGACAGAUGGGGGCAUUCGUACUGUGCCGUUAGAGGUGAAAUUCUUGGAUCGGCGCAAGACGAACGACUGCGAAAGCAUUUGCCAAGAAUGUUUUCUUUAAUCAAGAGCGAAAGUCAGAGGUUCGAAGACGAUCGGAUACCGUCCUAGUUCUGACUAUAAACGAUGCCAACUAGCGAUCGGGGGGCGUUACAUUGACGACCCCUCCGGCAGCUUACGGGAAACCAAAGUCUUUGGGUUCCGGGGGAAGUAUGGUUGCAAAGCUGAAACUUAAAGGAAUUGACGGAAGGGCACCACCAGGAGUGGAGCCUGCGGCUUAAUUUGACUCAACACGGGAAAUCUCACCCGGCCCGGACACAGUGAGGAUUGACAGAUUGAGAGCUCUUUCUUGAUUCUGUGGGUGGUGGUGCAUGGCCGUUCUUAGUUGGUGGAGCGAUUUGUCUGGUUAAUUCCGAUAACGAACGAGACUCUGGCUUGCUAAAUAGUUACGCGACCAUCCCGGUCGGCGUUUAACUUCUUAGAGGGACAAGUGGCGUUUAG